rnacentral:misc_RNA from 1 species
CGGGAUAAUACCCAACAGAACCAGGGAAAUUUAGAACUGCAUCUCCACCUUUUAAGGCUAGAGCAGCAACAUCAUAGGCGGCAGCUGCCAUCUCUGGGGUUGGAUAGGUGCCAAGCCAAAUACGAGUAGUUUUGCGAGGCUGCCGGAUUUCAGACACCCAUUUGCCACUUCGGCUGCGGAUUCCUCGAUAUAAAGGGUGCCUUUUGGGAGCGGCAGAAGCGGUGGCCAUGGCCAUGGCGGUAGGAUUGGAGUUGGAUGGUUGAGGUUGAGGAGGGUGUUUUAGGGAAGGGCUUUCACAUGGGGUUGUAGGGAUAGAGCGUGACAGAAAUGGGUCAAGUGGGUGCGGUAUAGGGGGAGAGCUAGG